rnacentral:rRNA from 1 species
CAAUAGCGUAUAUUAAAGUUGUUGCAGUUAAAAAGCUCGUAGUUGGAUUUCUGGGAGGGUGCCAAUGUCCGUCGUCGUACGUGUUGCAGCGGCGCCCUUCCAUCCUUCUGUUAACGACUUUGGGCAUUCAUUUGCCGGAGUCGGGCUCAGAUAUUUUACCUUGAGAAAAUUAGAGUGUUUAAAGCAGGCUUUUGCUAUGAAUACAUUAGCAUGGAAUAAUAAUCUAGGACUUCGGUGCUAUUUUGUUGGUUUCUGGAACUGAAGUAAUGAUUGAUAGGGAUAGUUGGGGGUGCUAGUAUUGAGCGGCCAGAGGUGAAAUUCUUGGAUUCGCUCAAGACUAACUUAUGCGAAAGCAUUCACCAAGGAUGUCUUCUUUAAUCAAGAACGAAAGUUGGGGGAUCGAAGACGAUUAGAUACC